UUGUUGCAGUUAAAAAGCUCGUAGUCGGAUUUCAGUAUUAGGCCCUUCUUCCAAUACGGUUGCUAGUGGUCUUUACUUCCUUAACAGAAUCUUUCAUCUCAUUAAUUUGGGGUGUUUGGGGCCUGUUUCUUUUACUUUGAGAAAAUUAGAGUGUUCAAAGCGGGUUUUCGCCUGGAUAUUACUCUUGGAAUAAUAAUAUAGGACUUUGGUUCUUUUUUGUUGGUGACUUAGAACCGAAGCAAUGGUUGAUAGGGACAGUUGGGGUCAUUCGUACUAUGAAGCGAGAGGUGAAAUUCAUGGACCUUUGUAUGACGAACUACUGCGAAAGCAUUUGACUAGGAUGUUCCCGUUGAUCAAGAACGAAAGUUGGGGGAUCGAAGACGAUCAGAUACCGUCGUAGUCUCAACCAUAAACUAUGCCAGCUAGGGAUUGGAGGAAGAUCAUUUUACGUCUCCUUCAGCACCUUAUGAGAAAUCAAAGCAUUUGGGUUCCGGGGGGAGUAUGGUCGCAAGGCUGAGACUUAAAGGAAUUGACGG
rnacentral:rRNA from 1 species